AUGCAGUGUCAUUUGUUUCUUGUAAACUUGUCUUACCUUUCAUGCAUUUGUCUGUUUAGAUAUUGUAAUUUGAUUUUUUUGCUUCUCCGUAGAACAAAGCAGGAGGUAUGGCAUGUAAUCUAUUGGAAAUGUGUUGAUGUACUUCUUAAGAGGAAGUCUUCCAUGGCAGGUCUGAAAGUUGGGAACAGAAGCAUAAAUAUGAGAAAAUCAGCGAAAGAAAAAUUGCUACCAUUGAGGCAUCUUCUUAAUUGUAUUCUCUUACCUACUAUCAGAUCUCAAGAAAUUGUUCAGAGGAUUUUUUUAUUGGAGAAGGCCCCGGCGGCAGGGCAAAGCUCUGGGAUGGCUUCCAUGGCAAACAGACAGUCAGCUACGAUGCUACCAAGAUUAGUUUGUGGCGAAUCAGUCAUAUCCAUUAUCUGA
rnacentral:rRNA from 1 species